CAGACUUAAAAGCGCGGUUGGCGGGCAGACGCCGCCACAGUCAUCCGCGGGCAGCUGCAGCAGCAGUUCACACCCCGGACAGUGCAGAAGUCGUCGUCACAGACCCAGACUGAAGAUGGCGCUGCUCCUGGACUCUUGGAUCGCCGAGUUGGUGGUCGUCUUGUCGGCGGCCGUGCUCUCCCUCUACCUGUGGUUCUCCAGUAGCUACAGAUACUGGAAGAACAAGGGGGUGCCGUACGCGGAACCUACAGUUCCGUUUGGAAACUUCCGGAGAAGCAUCCUAGGCCAAGAAUCUCUCGGCGAGACACUGCAGAAAAUGUACAAUCAGCUGCCAAGAGAGAGGUAUGUCGGGUUUUACGGGUUCCGUCGACCAUUGCUGCUUAUCCGUGACCCUGAACUCAUUCGCCACGUCCUUGUCAAGGAUUUCGGGACGUUCCACGACAGGGGACUGUUCAUCGACGACGAAGAACCUCUCAACCAACAUCUCUUUGCGUUGGGAGGAAAGAAGUGGCGCCAGCUGAGAAUCAAGUUGAGCCCUACGUUCACAUCUGGAAAACUAAAGGUGAUGUUCAAGACUAUCCAGGACAACGGGCGCGAGAUGGCAGACGUGGUGGGGGAAAUGGUGGACCGCGGGCAGUCGGUGGAGGUGCGCGAGCUGAUUGCGCGGUUCACCACUGACGUCAUCUCCUCCGUCGCCUUCGGCCAGGAGUGCAACUGCCAGCGGAACCCGGAGCACGAGUUCCGCCAAUGGGGGCGCAAGAUCUUCGAGCCCUCUUUGCGUGCAGGCAUCUCGUCCAUUCUGAACUUCAUCAGUCCAACGGUCAUGAACUAUGCACGGAUUAAAGGAGGAUUUACGGCUGUCAGCAAAUAUUUCCGAAAAAUGGUUGCAGACACCGUUGCUUACAGAGAGAAGAAUAACUACAGAAGGAAAGACUUCAUGGAUCUCCUUAUUCAGCUAAAAAACAAAGGAUAUGUCGACCCUGACAAAGGAGAGACAGUGGAGAACGGGCAUCAGAAAGGCAUCGGCACUCCUGAGAAAUUGUCGAUGGAUGACUUGGCAGCGCAGGCCUUCGUCUUCUUCAUUGCAGGCUUCGAGACGUCCUCAACGGCGACGAGCUUCACUUUGCAUGAACUGGCGCUCAACCCUGACGUGCAGAGCAAGCUGCACGACGAAAUCGACUCCGUGCUGAAAGAAAACGACAACGAAAUAUCCUACGACACCAUCGGCAAAAUGACUUACCUCGACAAGGUUGUAGCCGAGUCUCUCAGGAAAUAUCCACCCGUACCAUUGCUGAACAGAGAGUGCAACCAAGACUACAAGAUUCCAGACAGUGACGUCAUUCUGGAGAAAGGAACACCAGUAGCGCUGUCUGUGCUGGGCCUCCAUUAUGACCCCGCAUAUUUUGCUGACCCCGACCGAUUCGACCCUGAGAGGUUCUCCGAAGAGGCCAAAGCUAAGCGACACCCCUAUGUCUACCUGCCUUUCGGGGAGGGACCACGCAUUUGCAUAGGUAUGAGGAUGGGCCUGUUGCAAACCAAAGUGGGUCUCGUGAACAUCAUGUCAAAGUACAGUGUGCGACCCACAGAGAAGACAGUAACUAACCUGGAUUACCAUCCUAGGUCCUUUGUUCUUAUGACUAAGAGUGGAAUCCAUCUUAAGUUUGUAAAGCGUUCCUAGGAGGACAGCACUGAAGAACAAUCGUCACGUCCAACAUCAUGAGUUUUCGUGUCUGAAGGUGUGAUUAGUGGUUUUGCGUUGUGUACGUUAUCAAGCAUUAUGACUCGCAGAAAAUGCUUACACAGUGGCUUUACAAUAUGAACGACUACUGUACAUCCUUGUGUGACCAUGAAAUCUUCAGUAUUGUACCUUUAACAGCAUGUAUUAUGUUUAUGUACUUAAUGUAAAUAAAUAAACAAGUCUACCAGGUA